rnacentral:rRNA from 1 species
UACGUAGGGUCCGAGCGUUGUCCGGAAUUACUGGGCGUAAAGAGCUCGUAGGUGGUUUGUCGCGUUGUCCGUGAAAACUCACAGCUCAUCUGUGGGCGUGCGGGCGAUACGGGCAGACUGGAGUACUGCAGGGGAGACUGGAAUUCCUGGUGUAGCGGUGGAAUGCGCAGAUAUCAGGAGGAACACCGGUGGCGAAGGCGGGUCUCUGGGCAGUAACUGACGCUGAGGAGCGAAAGCGUGGGGAGCGAACAGG